AGCAGUGAGGAAUAUUGGUCAAUAGCCUAACGGCUGAACCAGCAAUUUGGGGGAAUGUAUAGUCUAAUCUAAUUGUUAUUUAAUUUAUAAAAUACAAUAUCGACUAUGUCGAAUAAAGUUCUAGAUAGAAUAAUGAUAAUGACAAUUUUUUAUCUAUAUGUCUUGACCAAGUCACGUGCCAGCAGUCGCGGCAAUACGUGGAAGACUAGUGUUAUUCAUAUUUAUUAGGUUUAAAGGGUACCUAGACGGUAUAUUUAGCCCAAUAAAGGGGUACAAGUAUACUAGAGUUUUAUGUGAGAAGGGGAGAACUUUUGAAGUAGAGAUUGAAUUCUGUGAUAACAAGAGGACUGGUAUAGGCGAAGGCAACCUUCUAUGUAAAAACUGACGUUGAGGGACGAAGGCUUGGGUAGCGAUUAGGAUUAGAUACCCUGGUAGUCCAAGCAGAAAAAUAUGAAUGUCAUAGACUAGAUUGUAUUUAGUCUAUAAAUGAAAGUGUAAGCAUUCCACCUCAAGAGUAACGUGGCAACACAGGAACUGAAAUCAUUAGACCGUCUCUGAAACCAGUAGUGAAGUAUGUUAUUUAAUUCGAUGAUCCGCGAAAAACCUUACCACAAUUUGAAUAUUUUACAAGCGCUGCACGGCUGUCUCCAGUUAAUGUCGUGAGAUUAUGGUUAGUUCCAUUAAUUAACGUAAACCCUUGCUUUAUUUAUUUUUAUAAAGUAGUUCUCCUAAACUUUGGGAAAGAUAAAAGGGACUAAGACAAGUCAUCAUGGCCUUAAUAUUGUGGGCU
rnacentral:rRNA from 1 species